ensembl:snRNA
GUGCUGUAUGGAGGGAAAGAAGGUUGGCAUUCCCCUUGACAGGGAUGGAAGAGGCCCUCAGGCCUGACAACACACACAGGGUUAAGGUGCUCCCACCUACUUCUGGCGUCUAACCCUCGUUUUUU